ACCUGUCUCUAGUCCCCAGCUGAUUUCCAGAGGCCCUUCCAGCUCCUGUGUUGAUUCUUCUGCCUCGACUCACUUCUAGCAGACAAGUACCAUCCAGCUGACCCUGGUAGGCACGUGGCCACAUAAUACGGAUUGCAUGAGGGAAUCCAGAGGAAUUCUCACACACAAGGCAAGAUGUAUGAGGAUGUUGCUGCAGCAUCGUUACUAGUGUUGGAAAUAAGAUGUUCCCCCUUUUUCCUUCUGAUAUGAGAAGAUACCUGUUAGCCCUCAAGCUGCUCAGAUGAGGGACUUUCCUGCCAAGAACCAACGUGAAGAGUGUAGCUUCUAUAAAGGAUUUCACUGGAUUUUUGUACUAAUGAACAAAUUUUAUUUGGAUGAGUAGAUAUUUAAUGUGCUGUUAUUACCACUGGAGUUAAAAGUAUAUUAUAAAUUCUUAUGUCUUUAAAACUAGAGAGAGGAUUCUGGGAAAAUGGCAGAGUAGAAAGCACCAGGAAUCCGACUUCCCACCUAAACAACUGUUCUAGCAGCAUCUGUCUGACAUAACUAUUUUAAAACUUUGGGGUCUAUUGAAAGCUAGCAACUUCUAGGGGAAAAGUUGGACAGUAAGCUGCAGUUAAUUUCAGUGAAUUUCAGCACAGUAAUAGCCAAUAGUAGCCAAACCCUACUCCUCAGCCCUGUGUCAGGCAGCUGUGUAUGUGUUCCUGGAGCAGUUUGCACACAACUUGCUGGAAUCAAGGUUGAAAAAAAAAAAACUGUCCUCCAAAUAUUAGGGCUCUGAUUGCUGAUUGUUGCUUUACAAAGGUGCAGAAGAAGAAAUGACAGCCAUUGUUUUGUUGUUGCACCUUCCCCCCCAUUGUGGCAAACUCCACCUCCUCUGGCUGAAGCAACUUCCAGGGGAUUUAAACGAUUAGAGCCUUUUUCUGCCCUUCAUUUUUCUCUUUUUCUCCAUUUUUGGAAGCCAGACAUUGAAGGCUAUGACAUUCAAAACAACUGUGUAUACACUUGUUACAGAAGAUAUUAGAAAGUCACUGUGCGUGCCCAGGGACAGGCUCAGAAAAGACCCAAGAAGACUGUAAGCUUAUAUUUCAGGCUAAUCCUCAGCACAGAGACAGCCUAUAACAAUAAAAAAUAAAAAGCUAGUAAACCCUGGGGAAGGAAAAUAAUCUGAUUUUCAGAAUUACCAGAUUAUUAGAUUCAAAAGUCUAGUUUUCAACAACAACAACAACAACAAAAACAAAAACACAAGAGAUACAAAGAAACAAGCAAAUAUGGCCCAUUC